AGUGAACGCUGGCGGUAGGCCUAACACAUGCAAGUCGAACGGCAGCACAGGAGAGCUUGCCCUCUGGGUGGCGAGUGGCGGACGGGUGAGGAAUACAUCGGAAUCUACUCUGUCGUGAGGGAUAACGUAGGGAAACUUACGCUAAUACCGCAUACGACCUACGGGUGAAAGCAGGGGACCUUCGGGCCUGGCGCGAUUGAAUGAGCCGAUGUCGGAUUAGCUAGUUGGCGGGGUAAAGGCCCACCAAGGCGACGAUCCGUAGCUGGUCUGAGAGGAUGAUCAGCCACACUGGAACUGAGACACGGUCCAGACUCCUACGGGAGGCAGCAGUGGGGAAUAUUGGACAAUGGGCGCAAGCCUGAUCCAGCCAUACCGCGUGGGUGAAGAAGGCCUUCGGGUUGUAAAGCCCUUUUGUUGGGAAAGAAAUCCAGCUGGCUAAUACCCGGUUGGGAUGACGGUACCCAAAGAAUAAGCACCGGCUAACUUCGUGCCAGCCGCCGCAGUAA
rnacentral:rRNA from 1 species